AAGCGAUCAUAGCGACUGCGAAGGGAAGCAUUGGGAAAAACAACUUCAUUAAUUAUAAUGUAAAAUUUUUAAAAAAUUUGCUUCUUUUCAUAUAGUAUUGUGGCAGAGAUUCAGAAACAGAAACAUGUAAUAAAGAAAAUAAUUCUGGAAACAACAACAGAAUCAACACUUUAAUUGAAAUGGGAAACAAUUUAACUUUCUCUCAGAAGACUGAAUGUGUAAGUUUUAUUUUGCAUAAAUUAACUUAUCCUUGCUAAUAGAAGACAAAAUUAUUUUAAAUAACAAAUCUAUUAAUUUAGGUUGCUAAUGGCACAGUUAAUAGAGGAACACCUGGUACAGAUGCACAGUUGGAAAUGACAGCAGAUAUAAACCCAGGCUUGUUUCAGGCAACUUCACCUAAUCACAGACAAAAGAAGACUAUCAACUGUAAUAAAAAGCUAAUCCUAACACCAAAGUCAAAAAAAAUCAAAAACCUCACUGAACAAAUAUCAAAAAUGAAGAGAAAAUCCAUACAGACGCCAUACAGAACUCAUCACAGUAUCGUAAAGCUGUACUAUUAAAAUAUCUUCAAAGCACGUUGACUGCAAAUGCAUAUCAAUUUGUGCUAAGCCAAAUAAAUGCAUUUUGUAGGAUACCAAAUGGAAGACGCUGGACUGUGAAAGAUAAGUCAUUUUAUUUAAAUAUUUACUUUCAAAGUCCAGCUACCUACAAAAAGUUAUCAACUUUGAUGCCUUUGCCAUGCCGAAAUACCUUGCUGAAAUCAAUUACAGGUUUGUGAAGUAUCCAGGUUUCUGUUUAAAAUUAUUUUCUAUAUUAAAGCAAAUUAUUCCAA
rnacentral:lncRNA from 1 species